GAUGAACGCUGGCGGCGUGCCUAAUACAUGCAAGUCGAGCGAACGGACGAGAAGCUUGCUUCUCUGAUGUUAGCGGCGGACGGGUGAGUAACACGUGGAUAACCUACCUAUAAGACUGGGAUAACUUCGGGAAACCGGAGCUAAUACCGGAUAAUAUUUUGAACCGCAUGGUUCAAAAGUGAAAGACGGUCUUGCUGUCACUUAUAGAUGGAUCCGCGCUGCAUUAGCUAGUUGGUAAGGUAACGGCUUACCAAGACAACGAUGCAUAGCCGACCUGAGAGGGUGAUCGGCCACACUGGAACUGAGACACGGUCCAGACUCCUACGGGAGGCAGCAGUAGGGAAUCUUCCGCAAUGGGCGAAAGCCUGACGGAGCAACGCCGCGUGAGUGAUGAAGGUCUUCGGAUCGUAAAACUCUGUUAUUAGGGAAGAACAUAUGUGUAAGUAACUGUGCACAUCUUGACGGUACCUAAUUAGAAAGCCACGGCUAACUACGUG
rnacentral:rRNA from 1 species